rnacentral:rRNA from 1 species
CGGGGAGCACUACAACGGGUGGAGCCGUGUCGGUUUUAAGUUGGUAUUACAACCGACCGGAAAUCUCCGACCGGGGGCGACAGCAAUAUGAAGGUCAGGCUGAAGACCUUACCCGAUUAGCUGAGAGGUGGUGCAUGGCCGUCGUCAGUUCGUACUGUGAAGCAUCCUGUUAAGUCAGGCAACGAGCGAGACCCACGUCCACAGUUGCCAGCAUACCCUCCGGGGUGAUGGGGUACACUGUGGAGACCGCCGCUGCUAAAGCGGAGGAAGGAGUGGGCAACGGUAGGUCAGUAUGCCCCGAAUCUCCCGGGCUACACGCGGGCUACAAUGGUUGGUACAAUGGGCAUCUACCCCGAAAGGGGAAGGAAAUCUCUUAAAGCCAAUCGUAGUUCGGAUUGAGGGCUGCAACUCGCCCUCAUGAAGCUGGAAUCCGUAGUAAUCGCGUUUCAACAGAACGCGGUGAAUACGUCCCUGCUCCUU